rnacentral:tRNA from 1 species
GGGGAUUUGGCUCAGUGGUAGAGCGCUUGCCUAGCAAGUGCAAGGCCCUGGGUUCGAUCCCCAGCUCUG